UCGAUUAAUAGAGAUCGAGUAAGAGAAAGCUAAAUCAAUCGAAACCAGAAAUUAAACCAAAAAACUUCAAUUGGUGUAUGAUUUGCUGACCUAAAAACUCGUAUAAAAAAGCCUAAUUUACAAAUCUUUCGCUCUUAGCUUGAAACUCUCAGAAGAAGAUUCAAUUGAAGAAUUAGAAACCCUAGAAAUCUCUAUCCUCAGAAGAAGAUUGAAGUAAAAUCUUUGGAGAUUCAGAAGAAGAUUGAAGUAAAAUCUUUGGAGAUUCAGAAGAAGAUUGAAGUAGAAUCUUUGAAGGUUCAUGUAUUACCUCUA